AAAUUCAGAACUUCCUAAUUAAGAACAACUCGGAUGCCCAGAAGCAACCUUCCCUUUCUGCCUGAUGAUGCAAAGGAAGCCACUGAGAUCAGUUCUCCUUAAGCUAUAGUCCCAGAACAUAAUGCUAUGGAAAAGUAUCUCAACAGAAUUGUUUCCUCCAAAGUAUAUCAAAGAUGAAGGCAUACUCACUAGUGACAUUUUAAGAGAUGAAGAAUGAUUGAAAAUCACAUUGAAGACAAUAGCUCAAUACCAUUCUUGCAGGAUACUCAAGA